rnacentral:misc_RNA from 1 species
AUGGUCAUAAAAACUUCAGUUUCAAAGUAUUUAUUGCUUUUUUCAUACAUGUAACUUUUUUGUCUCAAAGUUAACAUAUUAGGAAAGUAUUUUUUACAACAAGAAACAUUAUUUUUUGUCAAAGAAAAUGAGAAACACUUCUCUAGAUAUUGUGAUUCAAUUUCUUAUUGAAUUUUUGUACUGUUUUUAUCCAAAAAUAUUGUUCCCAAAGAGAAACUUAAUGAUUUAAGGAUGGAAAGGAUGAGUAUAAACUUUUACUACCAUUAAUCAAGGUUCUGUCUGUCCAGAUAAUAGUAUUUACGUACAUGUAUUUUCAAUCUACGAUGAAAAUACUGUAAGCAGCGAUAGUUGUUCUUUCGCGUCGACGAAUAGUGUUACCCAAAACUGUACACUUCCGUCCCUACACUGUGUGUAUGCCGCACAUAGUAAAACAGGUAUAGGAUGUGAUGUCGGAAGUUGACAGAUAUAAAGGAAGAAAAAGUUUGAGAGUACCAGUAGAUGUUUCUAUGUUAAUAUUCGAACAACUGAAGCAGAUCUAAUAGACCUUCAGGCUUGACUCAAAAGGACUAUGUGUAUUGUAAUACGGAAAGCGGAAGUAAAGGACUGCCCGGGGAUUUUCGAUUUAAUAACGGUAGGGUUAACAAUACAACAUGAUACAUGUGUAUAAAACUUUAUAAAUCAAAGUACUGAAGUACUAACGGAAGUUGAUUAUAUUGAUUGUUAUUUUAAAAUUAACGAUAUGUAAUCCCGCAUGGAAAAUAGUUUCUUUGCAGUAUUUGAAUAAUAAAGCACAUUUUUUCUUUCUUUUUUUUCAAGGGCUUCGCUCCUUGGGUUUUGGGAAGCCAUUUUGGGUCACAUCUAGUCUGAAAAUUCUGCAUCAUAUAUUAAUCCUAGUAGUAUAUUUAUAUUUUACAGUGCCAAAUUUUAUUGAAUUAAAUUGUCUUAAAAAAUUACAUUUUUACAGAGUUUAGUAAGGGACUAUAUUUUGUGGCGGAAGGUUUUCGAGAAGGAAAUGAACAAUUUCAUAACUCACUAGUUUUAGAGUACUGUUACUUUAGCUUCCUAAUUUUCAGCGCAGACCAAACGUCUAGAUAGUUUGUGUAUUACGAUAUAUUCAUAAUGUUCUAAAAUCAUAUUUAAACAAUAUUUUGACAUUUCUAUCGAUAUAUUCUGGCAUAAUAGCUUAUACGUAUUUCAUAAAAGUUCAUAAAAAAAUAACUUUAAUUUUGACCAAAAAUUAGCUUAUUUCAUGCUAUAUCUCAAAUUAUAUGAGGUGUGACCCCUACUUGCUUUACUUUUAAAUGAAACUUUUAAAUGUAUGUCUAAUUGUAUGCACAGUUUUUGAAAGAUGGCAUUACUAUUACUUUUUUUUUUAUUUGCGUUAUGAUUUAUUUAUUCCAAAAUUUUGUAACAUCUGUUGUUGAGUUCAUUAUGUACUGGCCUUUGAAGCCACCAUUUAAGCAAGAAUUUUUAAACUUUGACUAAGAUUUUACUUUUAUAAUCACAACAUGUGUUCAACUUCAUUCUGUAUUAAAAUAAUAGUUCAAACUAU